GGCUAGUGGCUGUGACGAGAUAAAUUCAUGCGUAGCCUUUUCAUCGCGAGCUUGAAAGUUCUUUUCUAUUACAGUUUUAGCUUUAGGUUUAAUUGGUUCGACUGCCUUCUCCACAAUUGGGCGAGAAUUUCUUUUGCCUUCUCAGCAAAAGUUGUUCUGCGGACCUGUCUGGGUCAACUUUCAUGAGGGACAUUGAGACAAACAAAUGAAAUACGGGUCAAAGUUCUCUGUCUCCUCUAGAAGGCGCUUUCAAUCUUCCAACCACAGCUUGGGAGGCUGUUCCAGUCUUGCUGACUUUUAGUAAGAAGAAAACAGUUUCCAGUGAAGGUACUAUCUAAACAGUGAAGGUACUAUCUAAAAAUGUCUCCUUUGUGUAGAAGUGGUUUGCCAUCAAACAAUUCUUCUUGCAUCAUCAAACAUCUCUUGACUGUAGCAGCUUGCAAUUUUGCUAUUUAAUUAUUUAUAUAACAUAAGUGGACAAUCUUUUUAUAUAGUAUCUGAUUGCCUUCUCAAAGAAACACUAUAAAGUUUUGACUUUAGCCCCAAUUUUCUAGAAGAGAGAUCUGAGACUCAGAAAAGCUAAUGGCUUGCCUAUAGUCACACAAUUAGACUUCUGAUUCCUAGCCAAUGCUUUUGACUCUAUUCCCUGCCUCCACUGUUGCCCUGGUAGGGAAGUAAUUUAUAUCUGAAAAUUACACGGAAAAGCCAAACUGUGAAAAUUGAGUUGUACAGGCCACACCCUGGAAUCUGUUCUACAUUUGUUUCAAACCACCAAAUAUUUGACUUCUGUGGAAAUGGUGCCAAGGUAAAUUAGGUGGAACCGGAAACAGGAACUUGCAUAUAUGUCUGUAUAUUAGUAGCAAUUUGAGAUGUUUGAGUUUCUUUCUUUGUACAAUAGAAAUUGGAAUAAUAUUUGCCAUGACUAGACAAAUAGUACAUGCUGAUAGACCGUAUAUUAUAGAUGACUCAUUCCCAAUAGAUCAUACCCUUUGACAUGACUUUUUAGUUGUUAGGAGGGAUUUUUCCCUAUUAACCAUACCCAACACAAACUUCUGUUCUUACUGGCUUUCAGAAGAAGAUACUUGCAUAAAUUCCCCUGCAGUUAUAUGCUCCCUUUACUUAAAAUCUGAUAGCUUGCUGUAUUUUAUUCUAUUAAAUCUAAAUCCUCAUGCUUGAUUUUCAAGAGCUCUCAAUAAUCUGACCCAUCCUAGCCACCCAAACUUGUCUCCACUUUGCUUUUUUCUUUUUUUUUGAGAUGGAGCCUCACUCUGUCACCCAGGCUGGAAUAUAGUGGCAUAAUCUUGGCUCACUGUAACCUCUGUCUCCUAAGUUCAAGUGAUUCUCCUGCCUCAGCCACCACCUGGGCUAAUUUUUUGUAUUUUUGGUGGAGAUUGGGUUUCACCACGUUGGUCAGGCUGGUCUCGAACUCCUGAUCUCAGGUGAUCCACCCGCCUCGGCUUCCCAAAGUGUUGGGAUUACAGGCGUUAGCCACCACACCCAGCUUGUCUGCCACUUUUCUAAUAGAACUCUUUCACUCUAGGAAGUUUAGGUCUCCGUACCGUCCUUUAAACAAAUUGCUCUCUGCUACUGAUGUGUCUUUUCCUAUCUUGUUUUCUUCAUUUGCCCUAUCCUCUCUGUUUAGAAUCUAAAUUCUAUGUAUUCACUAAAGCUCAGUUCAGAUUCCACCACCAUCACUUACUUUCCUCCUUCUUUUAACUUGUUAGUGCUUAGAAUUUGUAGUAAAACACAUCUGAGCAUUUAUUGUGUGGCAGGACAGGGUUCUCUGAUGCCCCACCCCCUUAUUCUUACUGAGAGAAGUAACUGGUAUUAGCAAGAGAGGCUUGUUUAUCUUUUAGGAGUUCCCACUCUGAAGAAUAUGGAUGAGGAUUCAGAGUCAUCCUCCACCCUUGGGGAUGGAGCCAAAUUUAGGGCUCCUUGGGCACAGGCAUAAAGGCGUAUCCAUCUUCUAGACACUGGCCAAACACACACACAAAAAGUGAGAACUCGCAGAAGAGGGAAGAAACGAAAGAGACGUCAUGACGCCCAGCAGGAAAUGAGAUUUUGCAGGCUGACCUGAUAGAAUAAAGAAAUGUAUGUUUGUUAUCAUUUUUCUGACUCACUGUAUUGUGACCAAUCAUAGUGUUUUUAUUUUUACUAAGACCUUUACCAGGAUUUACUUGGUUUGUAACUCUUAAGUUACCUUUAAGGAUAGUUGAAUUUUAUCUCUUUCUGUCUAACUUACAAAUUUUCUCUACAUAAGUUUUUUUGACAAGUCUACUUCAGUAUAAAGGAUAUUUAAGUAUUUAAAUUGUACAGUUUUAUGAGUUUCGACACAUGCAUAUACACCUGAAGCCAUCACCAUGAUCAAGAGGGGAAGGACACCCAAAUUUCUUUGCGUCCAUCUCUUCCUUAUCUUGCCUCCUUGCCCCUUCACCAGGCAGCAGCUGAUCUGUGUUCUGUCGUUAUAAAUUAGUUUGAAUUUUCUAGUAUUUUACAUAAAUGGAAUUAUGUAGUAUGUAUUGUUUUUGUCUGGUUUAUUUCACUCAGCCUCCCUGUUGCUGGUAUUGAUCGUUCCUUAUUAUUGCCCAGUAGUGCUCUAAAAUUUAUGAUCUAUUUACUUGAUGAUGGGCAUCUGGGGUUCUUAACUAUUACAAAUGGAGCUACUAUGAACAUUUGUGUGUACAAGUCUUAGUGUGGACAAAUACUUUUAUUUCUCUGGAAUAAAUACCCAGGGGUGGAAAGACUGGGUUCAUAUGAUAGAUGUGGUUUCACUUUUAAAGAAAAUGCCAAACUGACUGUACCAUUUAAAUUCUAGCUAGCAAUGUUAUAUCAAUUGCCCUUAUACUUGUCAAUCUUUGUUAUAAUCAGCCUUUCCAAUUUUAGCCAUUCUAGCGGAUGUGUAAUAAUAAUAUUAUGGCUUUGAUUUGCAUUUCACUAAUGGCUAAUGAUGUUGAGUAUCUUUUCAUGUAUGUAUUUGCCAUAUGCGUAUCUACUUUGGCGAAAUGUCUGUUCAGAUAUUUUGCCUAUUUUCCCCAAUUGGAUUGUUUUCUUUUCUUUUUUUUUCCUUUUUUUCUUUCUUUCUUUGAGACGGAGUCUCGCUCUGUCGCCCAGGCUGGAGUGCAGUGGCAUGAUCUCGGCUCACUGCAAGCUCCGCAUCCUGGGUUCAUGCCAUUCCAUUCUCCUGCCUCAGCCUCCCGAGUAGCUGGGACUACAGGCACCUGCUACCACGCUGGGCUAAUUUUUUGUAUUUUUUAGUAGAGACGGAGUUUCACUGUGUUAGCCAGGAUGGUCUCAAUCUCCUGACCUCGUGAUCCACGCGCGUCAGCCUCCCAAAGCGCUGGGAUUACAGGCGUGAGCCACCGCGCCCUGCCUGGAGUGUUUUCUUAUUGAUAAGUUGUAAGAAUUAUUUAUACGCUCUAAAUAAAAUUCUUUUUUUGAGUAGAUGUUUUGCAAAUACUUUCUCCUAGUCUAUGGCUUACCUUUCCAUUUUCAUAACAGUGAAUGUAGAGACAGCAAAAGUUUUUUGUUGUUGUUUCAGACAGGGUCUCCUUCUGUUGCCCAGGCUGGAGUGCAGUGGCACAACCAUGGCUCACUGCAGCCUCAACCUCCCAGGCCCCAGUGAUCCUCCUACCUCAGCCUCCUGAGUAGCUGGGAGCACAGGUAUUUGCCACCAUGCCCAGCUAACUUUUUUAAUUUGGGGGGAAGAGCUGGGGGGUGGGGUCUCUCUGUGUUGCCAGCACUGAUCUCAAACUCCUGGGCUCAAGCGAUCCUCCUAUCUUGGCCUCCCAAAGAGUGAGAUUACAGGUGUGAGCCACUACGCCCAGCCAAAAGUGUUUAGUUUUAUUAAGCCCAAUAGAUUAAUUUACUUCUUUUAGAGAUUGUGCUUUUUUGUGUGUAUUUUAAAAUCUUUGCCUAUGUUUUAUUCUAGAAGUUUUAUACCUUUAGUUCUGACAUUUAGGUCUAUGAUCUAUUUUGAGUUAAUUUUUUAUAUCGUAUGUGGCAAGGAUUGAAGUUAUUUAUUUAUUUUUUAGUUAUGGCUAUGCAAUUGUUUCAACACCAUUUAUUAUAAAGAUUACCUUUCUUCAGUUGAAUUCUCUUGCCAUGUUUGUGGAAAAUCAGUUGUCUAUAUAUGUGUGGGUCAACUUUUAGACCCUCAAUUCUGUUCCAUUGACUUGUAUGUCUGUGUUUACAACAAUACCACAUGGUUGUAAUUAAUAUAACUUAAUAAUAAAUCUUGGUAAAGGCAA